AUGCAGACAUUUAGGUGGAGAGACUGGACUUCAUGCCCUCAUGGCAGCUGUAAUUUGGAAGUCAAAUGCAGCAGGGCACACUUAGAGCUGAUCCGUGAUUCCCGCACAGAGAGCCAAGAAGGUCCCACUGUUCCAGAAGGUGCCCUCAUUCCAGAAGGUCCAGUCAUUCCAGAAGGUCCCACCGUUCCAGAAGUUCCCACCAUUCCAGAAGAUUCCACCAUUCCAGAAGAUUCCACCAUUCCAGAAGAUCCCACCAUUCCAGAAGAUCCCACCAUUCCAGAAGGUCCCACCGUUCCAGAAGGUCCCACAGUUCCAGAGGUCCAGUCAUUCCCCUCUGUAAUGAACCCACGCUCUGUCCCAGUGCCCUGCAAACACAGAUCUGCUUUUCAUCAUUGGUUUGGCCUUUUUAAGAAUUGUAGCCAAAUGGAGUCUUACAGUAUUUAGUCUCUUCUUUUUUUACACCUAAUAUAACACUUUGAAGAGCCAUCCAUAUUGCCAUGCUGACGUUGGUGUAAGUAGUCGGUUCCUUUUAUUUCAGUGUAGUAUUCCGGGGUAUGUAGAUGCCACUGAUACGGUUUGGUUUUGUGUUACCACUCAAAUCUCAUCUUGAAUUGUAAUCCCCAUGCCACCCCCCCAUGUCAAGGGAGAGACCAGAUGAAGGUAACUGAAUCGUGGGGACAGUUUCCCCCAUGCUGUUUUCAUGGUAGUGAGUUGUCACGGGAUCUCAUGGUUUUAUAAGGGGCUCUUCCCCCUUCACCUGGCAUUUCUCCUUUCUGCUGUCAUAUAAAGAAGGUGCCUUGCCUCCUCUUCGCCUUCCCUCGUGAUUGUAAGUUUCCUGAGGCCUUCUCAGACAUGCUGAACUGUGAGUUGAUUAAACCUUUUGCCUUUAUGAAUUACCCAGUCUCGGCAGUUCUUUAUAGCAGCAUGAAAAUGGACCACUGCAGCCACAAUGUGUUUAUUCACUCACCAGGUGGUAGCGAGGUUGUUUCCCUUGCCCAUUAUGAACAAAGCGUCUGUAAACACAUGAGCAGGUGUG
rnacentral:lncRNA from 13 species